UUAUUAUCAUUCUAUGAUGAUAGUGAUGUAAAAUAAGGUGAUUCAUAGUAACCGAACGGAUCGCAUUAUAAUUAUCAUUAUUUGAUGAUUGGCGAUAGAUCAUUCAAGUUUCUGACCUAUCAGCUUUCGACGGUAGUGUAUUGGACUACCGUGGCAGUGACGGGUAACGGGGAAUUAGGGUUCGAUUCCGGAGAGGGAGCCUGAGAAACGGCUACCACAUCUAAGGAAGGCAGCAGGCGCGCAAAUUACCCAAUCCUGACUCAGGGAGGUAGUGACAAGAAAUAACAACACUGGAAAUUUGAUUUCUAGUGAUUGGAAUGAUGGGAAUCCAAACCCCUUUCAGAGUAACAAUUGGAGGGCAAGUCUGGUGCCAGCAGCCGCGGUAAUUCCAGCUCCAAUAGCGUAUAUUAAAGUUGUUGCAGUUAAAAAGCUCGUAGUUGGAUGUCUGUUGGAAGCAAUCAUCAGUCCGCCCUAUUUGAUUAGGGUGUGAAUAUGAUGAAUUCCGGCAUAAUUGUCUCCCUAUUAUCAAUAUAUAAGAUGAUCAUUAUUAGAUUCAUUUCUAAUAAUGCGUCUACUAUAUUAUUGGUAGUAUGGGAGAAAUGUUACUUUGAGAAAAUUAGAGUGUUUGAAGCAGGCUUUUGUUGCCUUGAAUACUGCAGCAUGGAAUAACAAUAUAGGAUUUCGGUUCUAUUUUGUUG
rnacentral:rRNA from 1 species